rnacentral:rRNA from 1 species
UACGUAGGGUGCAAGCGUUAAUCGGAAUUAUUGGGCGUAAAGAGCUCGUAGGCGGUUUGUCGCGUCGAAUGUGAAAACCCGGGGCUCAACCCCGGGCCUGCAUUCGAUACGGGCAGACUAGAGUUCGGUAGGGGAGUCUGGAAUUCCUGGUGUAGCGGUGAAAUGCGCAGAUAUCAGGAGGAACACCGGUGGCGAAGGCGGGACUCUGGGCCGAUACUGACGCUGAGGAGCGAAAGCGUGGGGAGCGAACAGG